AUAAUACUCCAUAGAUUAGAGACACUGGAAUGUUCUUUAGUCGAAAGUUCUGGCGCCUUAGGAUGGAUCUGCGGUCGAUUAGGUUGUUGUUGGGGUAACGGCCCAACAAGCCUGUAAUCGAUACGGGUUGUGGGAGCAAGAGCCCGGAGAUGGAAUCUGAGACACGAUUCCAGGCCCUACGGGGCGCAGCAGGCGCGAAAACUUUACAAUGCAGGAAACUGUGAUAAGGGAACUCCGAGUGCCCGUAUACGCGGGCUGUCCAGGUGUUUAAAAAUCAUCUGAAGAAAGGGCCGGGCAAGACCGGUGCCAGCCGCCGCGGUAAUACCGGCGGCUCGAGUGGUGGCCACUAUUAUUGGGCUUAAAGCGUCCGUAGCUGGACCGAUAAGUCUCUUGGGAAAUCCGCCGGCUCAACCGGCGGGCGUCUAAGGGAUACUGUUAGUCUAGGGACCGGGAGAGGUGAGAGGUACUCCGGGGGUAGGAGUGAAAUCCUGUAAUCCCCGGGGGACCACCGAUGGCGAAGGCAUCUCACCAGAACGGCUCCGACAGUGAGGGACGAAAGCUGGGGGAGCGAACCGGAUUAAAUAACCGGGUAGUCCCAGCCGUAAACUAUGCGCGUUAGGUGU
rnacentral:rRNA from 1 species